rfam:Zea mays cultivar B73 chromosome 7, whole genome shotgun sequence.
AUAACUUUCUCGGCCUUUUGACUAAGAUAAAAUAUAGUAAUUGUUCUUAUCAGUUUAAAAUUUGAUAUGUGAACCAUAUGUUCACUUUGAUAUUAAAUUUAUUUUAUGAGUAUUAAAUAUAAGUAUGUGCUAUCAUAACACAUGAGUAUUGGACUAGUACACCUUUAAAGUGGGUUUCAUCAUGUGUCGUCCUCCUCCA